GAUUGAACGCUGGCGGCAGGCCUAACACAUGCAAGUCGAGCGGUAGCACAGAGAGCUUGCUCUCGGGUGACGAGCGGCGGACGGGUGAGUAAUGUCUGGGAAACUGCCUGAUGGAGGGGGAUAACUACUGGAAACGGUAGCUAAUACCGCAUAACGUCGCAAGACCAAAGUGGGGGACCUUCGGGCCUCAUGCCAUCAGAUGUGCCCAGAUGGGAUUAGCUAGUAGGUGGGGUAACGGCUCACCUAGGCGACGAUCCCUAGCUGGUCUGAGAGGAUGACCAGCCACACUGGAACUGAGACACGGUCCAGACUCCUACGGGAGGCAGCAGUGGGGAAUAUUGCACAAUGGGCGCAAGCCUGAUGCAGCCAUGCCGCGUGUGUGAAGAAGGCCUUCGGGUUGUAAAGCACUUUCAGCGGGGAGGAAGGCGGUGAGGUUAAUAACCUCACCGAUUGACGUUACCCGCAGAAGAAGCACCGGCUAACUCCGUGCCAGCAGCCGCGGUAAUACGGAGGGUGCAAGCGUUAAUCGGAAUUACUGGGCGUAAAGCGCACGCAGGCGGUCUGUCAAGUCGGAUGUGAAAUCCCCGGGCUCAACCUGGGAACUGCAUCCGAAACCGGCAGGCUAGAGUCUUGUAGAGGGGGGUAGAAUUCCAGGUGUAGCGGUGAGAUGCGUAGAGAUCUGGAGGAAUACCGGUGGCGAAGGCGGCCCCCUGGACAAAGACUGACGCUCAGGUGCGAAAGCGUGGGGAGCAAACAGGAUUAGAUACCCUGGUAGUCCACGCCGUAAACGAUGUCGAUUUGGAGGUUGUGCCCUUGAGGCGUGGCUUCCGGAGCUAACGCGUUAAAUCGACCGCCUGGGGAGUACGGCCGCAAGGUUAAAACUCAAAUGAAUUGACGGGGGCCCGCACAAGCGGUGGAGCAUGUGGUUUAAUUCGAUGCAACGCGAAGAACCUUACCUGGUCUUGACAUCCACAGAACUUUCCAGAGAUGGAUUGGUGCCUUCGGGAACUGUGAGACAGGUGCUGCAUGGCUGUCGUCGGCUCGUGUUGUGAAAUGUUGGGUUAAGUCCCGCAACGAGCGCAACCCUUAUCCUUUGUUGCCAGCGGUCCGGCCGGGAACUCAAAGGAGACUGCCAGUGAUAAACUGGAGGAAGGUGGGGAUGACGUCAAGUCAUCAUGGCCCUUACGACCAGGGCUACACACGUGCUACAAUGGCAUAUACAAAGAGAAGCGACCUCGCGAGAGCAAGCGGACCUCAUAAAGUAUGUCGUAGUCCGGAUUGGAGUCUGCAACUCGACUCCAUGAAGUCGGAAUCGCUAGUAAUCGUAGAUCAGAAUGCUACGGUGAAUACGUUCCCGGGCCUUGUACACACCGCCCGUCACACCAUGGGAGUGGGUUGCAAAAGAAGUAGGUAGCUUAACCUUCGGGAGGGCGCUUACCACUUUGUGAUUCAUGACUGGGGUGAAGUCGAACAAGGUAACCAAGGGCGAA
rnacentral:rRNA from 1 species